rnacentral:rRNA from 1 species
AAUGUCAACAAUGGAUGCCUAGGCGGUUAUGGCCGAGGAAGGACGCUUGCAUACCAGCGAUAUCGCCGUUGAGGCGGCCAGCAGCCAGCGAAACGGCGGUUUCCGAAUCGAGCAAUCGCCCCGAUAUUACAUCGGGGAGGUAAUAAUGAAAGGUUCCGAUCUAAUCGGGACAAAUAGUUGUUACCGGGGCACCGGGCGAACUGAAACAUCUAAGUAGCCCGAGGAAAAGAAAUCAAUUAACGAGAUUCCGUCAGUAGCGGCGAGCGAAAGCGGAAGAGCCUAAACCCUUCGAUUCGACUUUGCUCCGCAAAGGCUCACUCAGGGCAAGCCCUGGGAGAGUCUAAAGGGGUUCACCCCGAGCGAGGCGAAGCCGAGUCGAGGGGGGUUGCAGGGUCUUGCACAAGGGAUGGGAAGCGGAUAGUAGAAUAUCUUGGAAUAGAUAGUCAUAGAGAGUGAAAACCUCGUAUACGAAAUCCAAAUCCCCCCUGCGAGAUUCCUAAGUACCAUGAAGCACGGCAAAACUUCGUGGGAAUCCGGGUGGUCCACCAUCCAAGGCUAAACACCAUAACCGACCAAUAGUGAACAAGUACCGUGAGGGAAAGGUGAAAAGUCCCCCGGAAGGGGAGUGAAAUAGUACCUGAAAUUGUUGACUAACAAACAGACGGAGUCCCGAUAAAAUCGGGAUGACGUCGUGCCUAUUGAAGAAUGAACCGAUGAGUUUCCGGUUAACGGCUAUAGUCUAAGUCACUUUGUGACGGAGACGCAGUGAAAGCAAGCUCUAAUUGAGCGAUUCUGUCGUUAACGGAGGACCCGAAACCGGGUGAGCUAAGCAUGGACAGGGUGAACCCCGAUGAAAAUCGGGGGGAGGCCCGAACCCGUUGUUGUUGCAAAAACAUGGGAUGAUCUGUGCUUAGGGGUAAUAUGCCAAUCGAACCCGGAGAUAGCUGGUUCUCCCCGAAAUAUAUUUAGGUAUAGCGGUCUGUUUAUAGAUCUUGGGGGUAGAGCACUGGAUGGGUUAUCGAGCUUACGCGAGAUAGCUCAAUCAAACUCCGAAUACCAGGAUUAUUACAGGCUAGUCAGUCCGGCUCGGCUAAGCGAGUCAGGUCGAGCGGGGGAACAACCCAAACUCCCAAUUAAGGCCCCAAAAUUUUGGCUAAGUUGUAAAGGAAGUAAGAUUUCCACGACACCCAGGAGGUUGGCUUAGAAGCAGCCAUCCUUGAAAGAGUGCGUAACAGCUCACUGGAUGAGAAGUUUUGCGCCGAAAAUGAACGGGGAUAAGCCAAGUGCCGAAAUUGGAGAUUCCGAUGCAAAUCGGGAUAGUAGGGGAGCGUUCCUGUUGCAGUGAAGCUUACGGUGUAAACCGGAGUGGAGCGGCAGGAAGUGAGAAUGUCGGUAUGAGUAGCGAGAGUCCGAUGAAAAUUCGGACCGCCGAAAGCCCAAGGUUUCCGUCCCAACGUUCAUCGAGGACGGGUUAAUCGGAUCUAAGGCGAGUCCCCGUUUAAUCGGGGGGUAGCUCGAUGUACAAGCCGUCGAAAUUCGGCUAUAGUUUUAAGUGUCUCCUAGGGGGUGACGAGAUUGGAGUAACAGAGUCCUGUACACACGGGAUUCAAAUUACAAGAUAGUGAUAAUCGGAAAAUCCAUUAUUGCGUUUAAUCAAGUAAUGAAUAAGAGUUCAAAGCCGCAAGGCUGCGAGCAAUUCUGUGAUCUUCAGUGUCCAAGAAAAGUCUCAUAGGGUUCCGAUUUAUCGGGACAAACGCUUAAAGCUUCCGUACCGCAAACCGACACAGGUGGGCUGGUAGAGUAUACUAAGGCGAUCGGGAGAAAACGGUUCAAGGAACUCGGCAAAUCAGCUGGGCGUAACCUAUGGGAGAUGCCCUUCCCGUCAGAAUGGUGUUUCUAAGACAUGUCUGCGUUAGAGAGUUUAAACACUUUCUAAAUUCAGGGUGAUUUUAGGACCAGCAUUCUGACGGGACGCAGCGAAAGACGCUAACCGACUGUUUAACUAAAACACAGGUCUCUGCAAAGCCGAAAGGCAAAGUAUAGGGGCUGACGCCUGCCCAGUGCACGAAGGUUAAGAUUUUUGGGUGAUCCCUGAUGCAAAUCGGGGUAAGCUUAGAACUCAAGCCCGUGUGAACGGCAGCAGUAACUAUAACUGUUCUAUGGUAGCGAAGUUCCUUGUCGGGUAAGUUCCGACCCGCACGAAAGGCAGAACGAGUUAGCGACUGUCUUGAGCCGUUACCCGGCGAAAUUGAAAUGGCUGUGAAGAUGCGGCCUACUUGCACCUGGACAAAAAGACCCCGUGGAGCUUUACUGUAGCUUGGCAUUGAGAAGACGUUUUUAACUGUCGAGAAUAGGAGGGACCCCCCGAUUUUAUCGGGGGGAACAGUGGAAUACCUCUCUUUGGAAUCGUUAACCCUAAUCCUUUGGCCGCACAAAAAACCGGCAAGGAGACAGUGUCUGGUGGGCAGUUUCGCUGGGGAGGUGGCCUCCAAAAAGGUAACGGAGGCGUACAAAGGUCGGCUUAUCCCGGAUGGAAAUCGGGAUGAAAGUGCAAACGCAUAAGCCGGCUUGACUGCGAGACAUACAUGUCGAGCAGACGCGAAAGCGGGUGUUAGUGAUCCUCGUUACGGCUGUGGUUGCCGUACGGGCUUAACGGAUAAAAGCUACCCCGGGGAUAACAGGCUGAUCGGGCCCGAGAGUCCAUAUCGACGGCCCGGUUUGGCACCUCGAUAGACUAGAGCAAAUUGUCGAGGUUAAAUUCGGCUCAUAACGGAGAAAGCCUAAUAUUUUGAACCCAGAAAAAAAAUUUGAAUAUUAGGUUAACACCGUGGGAAGUCCCGCAUUGUGCGGGACCCCGUAACGACUGAUGUCCCGAUUAAAUCGGGACUGAGAUGGAAUUCUCACAUUGAUCUUCCAUCAGACGCCGAACCCCGUACCAAAAGGUACAGGGAAGGUAUAGUCUACACCAUUAGUAAUAAUGGAUAUUGUGGUCGGCUCACCCUAUCCCGGGGCUGGAGAAGGUCCCAAAGGUCCGGCUGUUCGCCG